rnacentral:lncRNA from 1 species
UGGGGACCAUGGCACCUGCAGCUCUAGAGGAGGCCACCAUCCAUGCCUUUGCCACAUAGCCUCCGAGACCACAGCCUUCAGGGUUAACCCCUGAAGACACUAACAGGGCCCUAAGAAAGCACUGGCAUUGCCUUGUGGCAAUAACUAGGAGGACACCUGGGAAGUAACCACAGGUCCUGUGCAUGUGACUGUCAGCUCUAUAGCUUGCCAGCUAAACAGCCUGGAUAAAUCAUCAGUAUUAUAUGUUUUAGUUUUCUAAUCCACGUUAUUUGUAGAAAUCACCUGUUAUUCUUGGUGAAUAUUAAAUUAAAUAAUUCAUAUAGAGUAUUUACCACAGUGCCUUACACAUUGCUGGUGCUGUGGUACAUAGUAGUUUACUGUUAUUAUUUCUCAUUCUCCCACACUGACCCUGAAGCCUUUAAAGACCAGUGUUCGACUUUGUGUACCUGUGACCUUGGAUUCUCCAGGCCUCACCUGUCUUUCAUGCCCUCAGUUAUCUGCUGGAUCCUGGAAUCAGAAGAAUGGCCAUAUCCAGGGCAUAAAAUCCCACUUUCUCAGUAGCUGCCCAAGGACUCAGGUGGCCCAGCCCAGAGGUUCAGGGGAGCUGACAUCCUGCAAGACAAACUGUGACUCAUGGGGCCCAAGAGCCUGGGGAGAGCCAGGAAGCACACCUUUCUCCAUUCUUCCUGUUGAAUACGUCCCAGGUGUGGUGUUACUGUACCUUUUACCCAGAGAUGUCCCAUGGGAUGCCCAGAACCAUGGAUUGCAGUCUGGCAGUGGAGUGAGUAUAAGCCUCUAUAUAAACUCUGCUACAUGUGGGAGUAUGGACAUCUCUCUCAAGAGGAGCAUGGGAAGGAAGCGCAGCAGGGGCGCCAUCUAGGGACACUGCAAGGGCUUCAGGAAAGCCAUGACAUUGGAGUUGCCGGUGGUGGUGGUUAUGGUGGUGGUGAUGGUGGUGGUGGUGGUGGUGGUGGUUCUGUGGAGACUGGGGAAGGUAGGUGAAGAACAGCUGUGGAAGUCAAUGUCCCAAGACUAUACCUGGAGGAGUUGGGGAUGGCUUUAUACAUGGGGUGAGGCUUGAGAAAACAUGGCGCUCAUAAGGCCAAAAGACUUUGGUAGUGGUAAUAUUGGCUCACGUUUCCUUUCAGAUAGAUUGAAAACCAUGUGCAAAGGCAAAGGAGGUGAGAGAAAGCACUCAACCCCCAAGGAAAAUAGGCCGAGGCCAGAUCAAAAAGGUCUUUAAAUACGACACCAAAUGUCUCAACCUUCUUUCAGCUGAUGGUGUGGUGAGUGGUUCCAACACAAUACAUGCUUUGGCAACUAUUGUCACAUGCAGACAAUCUUGAGUCGCAUAACAUCUUGAC